rnacentral:rRNA from 1 species
CCCACCCUUCGGGGGUAAGGGUCGAUGUAGACUACAUCGUCGAUAGGUCGGAGGUGUACGCACAGUAAUGUGUUCAGCUGACCGAUACUAAUAACCCGAGGGCUUGACCUA